rnacentral:rRNA from 1 species
GAUGAACGCUGGCGGCGUGCUUAACACAUGCAAGUCGAGCGGAAGUAAAUAAAAGCUUGCUUUUAAAUACUUUAGCGGCGGACGGGUGAGUAACGUGUGGGUAACCUGCCUUAUACUGUGGAAUAAUCGUGUGAAAACGCGACUAAUACCGCAUGUCGUCACUGAAGGGCAUCCUUCGGUGAAAAAGGAUUCGUUCGGUAUAAGAUGGACCCGCAUCUGAUUAGCUAGUUGGUGAGAUAACAGCUCACCAAGGCAACGAUCAGUAGCCGACCUGAGAGGGUGAUCGGCCACAUUGGGACUGAGACACGGCCCAAACUCCUACGGGUGGCAG